GGCACUAUGGCCGAGUGGUUAAGGCGGUAGAUUCGAACCAAGCAUUUGAACAUCUACUACGCAUUGCGUGCGCAGGUUCAAAUCCUGCUGGUGUCG